UUCAUUUGGUACAAACCGCGAUU
rnacentral:miRNA from 1 species